rnacentral:tRNA from 1 species
UGGGGGAUCGUCUAGUGGUAGGACAGCGGACUCUGACUCCGCCAGUCUAGGUUCGAAUCCUAGUCCCCCAGCCA